UGCCGAAGAUGGCGGAGGGGCAGGUUCUGAUAUUGGAUGGCCGAGGCCAUCUUCUGGGCCGCCUGGCGGCCAUUGUGGCCAAGCAAGUGCUUCUGGGCCGGAAGGUGGUGGUCGUACGCUGUGAAGGCAUCAACAUUUCUGGAAACUUCUACAGAAACAAGUUAAAAUAUCUGGCCUUUCUCCGGAAGCGGAUGAAUACCAACCCUUCCCGAGGCCCCUACUACUUCCGAGCCCCCAGCCGCAUUUUCUGGCGCACUGUGCGAGGCAUGCUGCCCCACAAGACCAAGAGAGGCCAGGCUGCCUUGGAACGCCUCAAGAUGUUGGAUGGGAUCCCUCCACCCUAUGACAAGAAAAAGCGCAUGGUGGUCCCUGCUGCCCUCAAGGUUGUUCGGCUGAGGCCUACCAGGAAGUUUGCUUACCUGGGGCGGCUGGCUCAUGAGGUCGGGUGGAAGUACCAGGCAGUGACAGCCACUCUGGAGGAGAAACGGAAGGAGAAGGCCAAGAUGCACUAUCGGAAGAAGAAGCAGAUCUUGAGGCUACGGAAGCAGGCAGAAAAGAAUGUGGAGAAGAAAAUCUGCAAGUUCACAGAGGUCCUCAAGACCAANGGACUCCUGGUGUGAACCCAAUAAAGACUGUUUGUGCCUCAUGCCUGCCUGGCCUGCCCUUCCUCUGCCGCCGACCAGGGAAGUGGGAACCAAAGGNUCCUUAGGAGGCACUGUUCCUGUGGGUAGAGGGGACAUUUUAGAGCUGACAGCCCACCACCUGCUUGAGUUUUAUUAAAGUGCAAACCAUGGAAUGAAUCCCUUGAGCUUCAGUGGUGAAAAUGAGUAGCAGGGCUGCCCCACCCACCUGACUGAAUACCAUAUCUGCAGCUAUGAAAAUGAGGUCUGUCUGCACACGGAAGAUACCAGUGCAAGCACUGCCUCUGCUCCUUCCCGACAGACCACAAAGCAGUGUUUUUCUGGAGGAUUCUAUGUGCUAAUAAAUUAUUUGACUU